GUUUACUCUAAUGAUUCCAUAGGCUUUCUUAGCAUUUGCAACUUCAAUUAACCUUAGUGGCAGCAGAUAUGCCAACUCUUUUCUUGUGGAUUUGCACAGAUUCAUAUCACUUUUCAUCACCUGUAGGUAAGCAGAAUUGGAGAAUUACUAUCACCAACUUCACAGCCAACCAUACAUAGUAUGUUACUCAACUAUGAUCUAUAUUUUAUUCUAUCUAUUAGUUAUUCUGAAUUAUCCUGCCCUCUCCUUUCCCCAGAUUUCCCAAAGGGCUCCCGUAAAAGCAGCAAGCUACUGGAACAUUUGUCUCUCAGAAAGUUUAAAACAAAUGAUCUGAGUGUUAUUAACGUAUGAAGACAUAUGGCUUAUGGGAAGGAAAUUAUCCUGGGGUAUAAAUCCUGGUGAGCACAGUAUUUUAAGGAGAUUAUGAAUGACAAGAAAUAACAGUAUUUUCUCUGUUCAAAGAAAAACAUUAAUGAUUCGGCUUCUGUCUCAUUGUCUCUAGUUUUCUUAUUUUAUUUUAUUUUUUAAUGCAAGAAAGCACAGGUUUACUUAAUAUUUUCAAUUUUAAAUGUUAUUUUUUCUCAUCUUAUUGAGUACCUCUCUGCAACGUUUGGAAUACUUUAUCUGGCACAGCUUCUUAUGACCAACCUCCACCUUCAUAUAUACAAGCACAGGUCCCAGUGAAGUCAAUGGAGUUGCACUUGCUUAUUUGAGAAGAGGUUUGAGGCCUUUCACCUUAAUACAACCAAGAAAUGCUUACAAGUGAAGUCACAUCUCAUAUCUGAUUAGCUGAAUUGUAAAUAUGAAAGAUAACUGGCUUGGAAUUAGGUAUCAGGAACUAAGAGUGCCC
rnacentral:lncRNA from 1 species